UACGGAGGGUGCAAGCGUUAAUCGGAAUUACUGGGCGUAAAGCGUGCGUAGGCGGUUUAUUAAGUCAGAUGUGAAAGCCCCGGGCUUAACCUGGGAACUGCAUUUGAAACUGGUAAACUAGAGUGUGAUAGAGGGUGGUAGAAUUUCAGGUGUAGCGGUGAAAUGCGUAGAGAUCUGAAGGAAUACCGAUUGCGAAGGCAGUCUACUACGAAUGUACUGACGCUGAUGGACGAAAGCGUGGGUAGCGAACAGG
rnacentral:rRNA from 1 species